UGCCAGCAGCCGCGGUAAUACGGAGGGUGCAAGCGUUACUCGGAAUCACUGGGCGUAAAGAGCGUGUAGGCGGGUUAAUAAGUUUGAAGUGAAAUCCUAUGGCUCAACCAUAGAACUGCUUUGAAAACUGUUAACCUAGAAUAUGGGAGAGGUAGAUGGAAUUUCUGGUGUAGGGGUAAAAUCCGUAGAGAUCAGAAGGAAUACCGAUUGCGAAGGCGAUCUACUGGAACAUUAUUGACGCUGAGACGCGAAAGCGUGGGGAGCAAACAGGAUUAGAAACCCCCGUAGUCC
rnacentral:rRNA from 1 species